UACGGAGGGGGAUAGCGUUAUCCGGAAUCACUGGGUUUAAAGGGUGCGUAGGCGGCUUAAUAAGUCAGAGGUGAAAGGCUGUGGCUCAACCAUGGGAUUGCCUUUGAUACUGUUAGGCUUGAAUCAGGCUGAGGUUGGCAGAAGGUGGCAUGUAGCGGUGAAAUGCAUAGAUAUGCCAUAGAAUACCGAUUGCGAAGGCAGCUGACUGGACCUUGAUUGACGCUGAGGCACGAAAGCGUGGGGAGCGAACAGG
rnacentral:rRNA from 1 species